GAUGAACGCUGGCGGCGUGCCUAAUACAUGCAAGUCGAGCGAACGGACGAGAAGCUUGCUUCUCUGCUGUUAGCGGCGGACGGGUGAGUAACACGUGGCUAACCUACCUAUAAGACUGGGAUAACUUCGGGAAACCGGAGCUAAUACCGGAUAAUAUUUUGAACCGCAUGGUUCAACAGUGCAAGACGGUCUUGCUGUCCCUUAUAGAUGGAACCGCGCUGCAUUAGCUAGUUGGUAAGGUAACGGCUUACCAAGGCAACGAUGCAUAGCCGACCUGAGAGGGUGAUCGGCCACACUGGAACUGAGACACGGUCCAGACUCCUACGGGAGGCAGCAGUAGGGAAUCUUCCGCAAUGGGCGAAAGCCUGACGGAGCAACGCCGCGUGAGUGAUGAAGGUCUUCGGAUCGUAAAACUCUGUUAUUAGGGAAGAACAUAUGUGUAAGUAACUGUGCACAUCUUGACGGUACCUAAUCAGAAAGCCACGGCUAACUACGUG
rnacentral:rRNA from 1 species